rnacentral:rRNA from 1 species
GACGAACGCUGGCGGCGUGCCUAAUACAUGCAAGUUGAGCGCUGAAGGUUGGUACUUGUACCGACUGGAUGAGCAGCGAACGGGUGAGUAACGCGUGGGGAAUCUGCCUUUGAGCGGGGGACAACAUUUGGAAACGAAUGCUAAUACCGCAUAAAAACUUUAAACACAAGUUUUAAGUUUGAAAGAUGCAAUUGCAUCACUCAAAGAUGAUCCCGCGUUGGAUUAGCUAGUUGGUGAGGUAAAGGCUCACCAAGGCGAUGAUACAUAGCCGACCUGAGAGGGUGAUCGGCCACAUUGGGACUGAGACACGGCCCAAACUCCUACGGGAGGCAGCAGUAGGGAAUCUUCGGCAAUGGACGAAAGUCUGACCGAGCAACGCCGCGUGAGGGAAGAAGGUUUUCGGACCGUAAAACUCUGUUGGUAGAGAAGAACGUUGGUGAGAGUGGAAAGCUCAUCAAGUGACGGUAACUACCCAGAAAGGGACGGCUAACUACGUG